AGGAGACCAAUGAGAUUGGGGCCAUUAAGAGUUCAAGGACAGUGAAGAGAAUGAGGAGGUUAAGGAGACCACACUCCGGGAGCUGAAGAUGCUCCGAACCCUGAAGCAGGAGAAUAUCGUGGAGCUGAAGGAAGCCUUCCGCAGGAGGGGGAAACUCUACCUGGUGUUUGAGUAUGUAGAGAAGAACAUGCUGGAGCUGCUGGAGGAGCUUCCCAACGGAGUUCCGUCUGAUAAAGUCAGGAACUACAUCUACCAGCUGAUCAAAGCUAUCCACUGGUGUCAUAAGAACGACAUUGUCCACC